GACAGAGGGUGCGAACGUUGCUCGGAAUUACUGGGCGUAAAGCGCGUGUAGGCGGGCUGGAAAGUUGGGGGUGAAAUCCCGAGGCUCAACCUCGGAACUGCCUCCAAAACUUCCAGCCUGGACUCAAGCAGAGGCAAGUGGAAUUGCGAGUGUAGAGGUGAAAUUCGUAGAUAUUCGCAGGAACACCAGUGGCGAAGGCGACUUGCUGGGCUUGUGGUGACGCUGAGACGCGAAAGCGUGGGGAGCAAACAGG
rnacentral:rRNA from 1 species